GGGGACGUAGCCCAGCCAGGUAAGGCAACAGGCUCCAGACCUGUGGAUCGUCGGUUCGAAUCCGGCCGUCCCCA
rnacentral:tRNA from 1 species